CUACGGGAGGCACCAGUGAGGAAUAUUGCACAAUGGGGGGAACCCUGAUGCAGCGACGCCGCGUGGAGGAUGACGCAUUUCGGUGUGUAAACUCCUUUUAUAUGUCAAGAAAAUGACGGUAGCAUAUGAAUAAGCACCGGCUAACUCCGUGCCAGCAGCCGCGGUAAUACGGGGGGUGCAAGCGUUACUCGGAAUCACUGGGCGUAAAGGACGCGUAGGCGGGUUGGAAAGUCAGGUGUGAAAUCCUACAGCUUAACUGUAGAACUGCACUUGAAACUUCUAAUCUAGAGUAUGGGAGGGGGAGAUGGAAUUAGUGGUGUAGGGGUAAAAUCCGUAGAUAUCACUAGGAAUACCUAAAGCGAAGGCGAUCUCCUGGAACAUUACUGACGCUAAGGCGUGAAAGCGUGGGGAGCAAACAGGAUUAGAUACCCCCGUAGUC
rnacentral:rRNA from 1 species